rnacentral:piRNA from 1 species
GACCAGGUUUCCUGCAAGAAAUGGAGCA